rnacentral:rRNA from 1 species
AUUGAACGCUGGCGGCAGGCCUAACACAUGCAAGUCGAACGGUAACAGGGAUCAGCUUGCUGAUUCGCUGACGAGUGGCGGACGGGUGAGUAAUGUCUGGGAAACUGCCUGAUGGAGGGGGAUAACUACUGGAAGCGGUAGCUAAUACCGCAUAACGUCGCAAGACCAAAGAGGGGGACCUUCGGGCCUCUUGCCAUCGGAUGUGCCCAGAUGGGAUUAGCUAGUAGGUGGGGUAACGGCUCACCUAGGCGACGAUCCCUAGCUGGUCUGAGAGGAUGACCAGCCACACUGGAACUGAGACACGGUCCAGACUCCUACGGGAGGCAGCAGUGGGGAAUAUUGCACAAUGGGCGCAAACCUGAUGCAGCCAUGCCGCGUGUAUGAAGAAGGCCUUCGGGUUGUAAAGUACUUUCAGCGGGGAGGAAGGGAGUAAAGUUAAUACCUUUGCUCAUUGACGUUACCCGCAGAAGAAGCACCGGCUAACUCCGUG